AUUGAACGCUGGCGGCAUGCCUUACACAUGCAAGUCGAACGGUAACAGGUCUUCGGAUGCUGACGAGUGGCGAACGGGUGAGUAAUACAUCGGAACGUGCCUAGUAGUGGGGGAUAACUACUCGAAAGAGUGGCUAAUACCGCAUGAGAUCUACGGAUGAAAGCAGGGGAUCGCAAGACCUUGUGCUACUAGAGCGGCCGAUGGCAGAUUAGGUAGUUGGUGGGAUAAAAGCUUACCAAGCCGACGAUCUGUAGCUGGUCUGAGAGGACGAUCAACCACACUGGGACUGAGACACGGGCCAGACUCCUACGGGAGGCAGCAGUGGGGAAUUUUGGACAAUGGGCGAAAGCCUGAUCCAGCAAUGCCGCGUGCAGGAUGAAGGCCUUCGGGUUGUAAACUGCUUUUGUACGGAACGAAAAGCCCCGGGUUAAUACCCUGGGGUCAUGACGGUACCGUAAGAAUAAGCACCGGCUAACUACGUGCCAGCCGCCGCAGUAA
rnacentral:rRNA from 1 species